rnacentral:rRNA from 1 species
UAGAGUUUGAUCCUGGCUCAGGAUGAACGCUAGCGACAGGCUUAACACAUGCACGUCGAGGGGCAGCGGGGAGGUAGCAAUACUUCCGCCGGCGACCGGCGCACGGGUGAGUAACACGUAUGGAACCUGCCCGUAGCAGGGGGAUAAACGGAAGAAAUUCCGUCUAAUACCGCGUAAUAACUCCGAGAGGCAUCUCAUGGAGUUUAAAGGGUAACACCGGCUACGGAUGGCCAUGCGGCGCAUUAGCUAGUUGGCGGGGUAACGGCCCACCAAGGCGACGAUGCGUAGGGGUUCUGAGAGGAAGGUCCCCCACACUGGUACUGAGACACGGACCAGACUCCUACGGGAGGCAGCAGUGAGGAAUAUUGGUCAAUGGGCGCGAGCCUGAACCAGCCAAGUCGCGUGAGGGAAGACGGUCCUAUGGAUUGUAAACCUCUUUUGUCGGGGAGCAAAAGACGCCACGUGUGGCGUUCCGAGAGUACCCGAAGAAAAAGCAUCGGCUAACUCCGUGCCAGCAGCCGCGGUAAUACGGAGGAUGCGAGCGUUAUCCGGAUUUAUUGGGUUUAAAGGGUGCGCAGGCGGAAGAUCAAGUCAGCGGUAAAAUUGAGAGGCUCAACCUCUUCGAGCCGUUGAAACUGGUUUUCUUGAGUGAGCGAGAAGUAUGCGGAAUGCGUGGUGUAGCGGUGAAAUGCAUAGAUAUCACGCAGAACUCCGAUUGCGAAGGCAGCAUACCGGCGCUCAACUGACGCUCAUGCACGAAAGUGUGGGUAUCGAACAGGAUUAGAUACCCUGGUAGUCCACACAGUAAACGAUGAAUACUAAUUGUUCGGGGAGAAUGAUCCCUGAGUGAUACAGCGAAAGCGUUAAGUAUUCCACCUGGGGAGUACGCCGGCAACGGUGAAACUCAAAGGAAUUGACGGGGGCCCGCACAAGCGGAGGAACAUGUGGUUUAAUUCGAUGAUACGCGAGGAACCUUACCCGGGCUCAAACGACACAGGAAUACUUUUGAAAGGAGGUAGCUCUACGGAGUCUGUGUCGAGGUGCUGCAUGGUUGUCGUCAGCUCGUGCCGUGAGGUGUCGGCUUAAGUGCCAUAACGAGCGCAACCCCCAUCGCCAGUUACCAGCAAGUCAAGUUGGGGACUCUGGCGAGACUGCCGGCGCAAGCUGUGAGGAAGGCGGGGAUGACGUCAAAUCAGCACGGCCCUUACGUCCGGGGCGACACACGUGUUACAAUGGCAGGUACAGAGAGAAGCAAUGCGGCGACGCAAAGCGGAACUUGAAAGCCUGUCUCAGUUCGGAUUGGAGUCUGCAACUCGACUCCAUGAAGCUGGAUUCGCUAGUAAUCGCGCAUCAGCCAUGGCGCGGUGAAUACGUUCCCGGGCCUUGUACACACCGCCCGUCAAGCCAUGGAAGCCGGGAGUGCCUGAAGUGUGCAACCGCAAGGAGCGCCCUAAGGUAAAACUGGUGACUGGGGCUAAGUCGUAAUCAAGGUAACCGUA